CCUACGGGUGGCUGCAGUGAGGAAUAUUGGUCAAUGGACGAGAGUCUGAACCAGCCAAGUAGCGUGAAGGAUGACUGCCCUAUGGGUUGUAAACUUCUUUUAUAAAGGAAUAAAACGAGGCACGUGUGCCUUUUUGCAUUUACUUUAUGAAUAAGGUCCGGCUAACUCCGUGCCAGCACCCGCGGUAAUACGGAGGGUCCGAGCGUUAUCCGGAUUUAGUGGGUUUAAAGGGAGCGUAGAUGGGUUGUUAAGUCAGUUGUGAAAGUUUGCGGCUCAACCGUAAUAUUGCAAUUGAUACUGGCAGUCUAGAGUACAGGAGAGGUAGGCGGAAUUCGUGGUGUAGCGGUGAAAUGCUUAGAUAUCACGAAGAACCCCGAUUGCGAAGGCAGCUUACUAGACUGUGACUGACAUUGAUGCUCGAAAGUGUGGGUAGCAAACAGGAUUAGAUACCCUUGUAGUC
rnacentral:rRNA from 1 species